rnacentral:lncRNA from 1 species
CCUCUCGACUGGGUCGGUCCGCUGAGGUGCCGGAUCCCCUCACUGCUGGGACGCGCCGAACUCCCAGCAGGAGUCCGCUCUUUGGAGCCUGGUCCCUCCCUUCCCCUUCCCUGCCCCCUUCCCCCACCCCCGACGCGGGCUCCGCGCAGCGGCCAGAGGAACCCCGAGGGUCCCUUGCAGCUUCCCUGGCUUCCCUUGCAGCUUGCCUGGGAUCCAAGGGGGAGCGAAGUUAUUUGUUGCUCAAGCCAACAACUGAACCAGGAAAGUAGACUUUGAGAUCAUUAUAGCUUCUUGUGGGAGGUCCAACUCUAUUGGGUGGGUUAGAUGCUGAAGGGGUUAGGGAAUGAGCUUGAGGAAGUUAGGGGGCUAAAGUGAUGGAUUCCCCGGGACUGGAAUGACAGGUUUCCC